GCUGUCUGGGCAUCGGCGCUGUCUGGGCAUCGGCGCUGUCUGGGCAUCUGCGCUGCGGCUGGAGGUACGGCUGGUCCUCUGCCUGCUGUCCACUGCCACCUUGGUCUGCUCUUGCCACCCUGGCGCCGCGAACUCUGUGCCGCCUCUCCCUUCACCCUGUCUUGGGACGGCCGGCGCUAAGAAUUCAUGCUAUGACCUUCGAUGCAGCCAGGAGGUGACACCAAACUCGAUCAGAAACCAUGCCACUGGUGAAGAGGUAUAUUGAGCCCUGCCUGGCCCAGUGAGGUUACUAGAGAAUUGGAAGAGACUCAAAUCAGCAUCCUGCACAUGGUUAUCAAACCAUUGUGAAGUCUUAAUUCCUGGGCAGCCUGAAACCUUGUCAUUGAGUCAAGAGCAACACUAAGACCUACCUGUCACUUAUCCUGAGGCUUCCUGCCCAGUGGGUUCACCAGCAAGCCAGAAUGAAGCAUCAUUGCCCUGGAUGUCCUUGUGAAGCCGUUAGGAAGUCUUGGCUGAAUUUUGAAGGAUAUCUUUGAAAAGUGUUUUAGAGAGUCUACCAGAUUUUCCAUGUGAGUGCAUGUGCAGCAGAAGAGGGGGUCUUCUCAGUGAUUAAGGUAACACAGUGAUUAAGGUUCAACCUUGGAAAUUCAGGCUCCUCAAUCUUCAGGUCUUCAUCCUCCAUUUGACUUUCCAUCUCGUCCACGGAGGAUUGCUGAGUUAAGUCAGGAAAGAAAACGGUCGUGCACAGAGGGAGAAUUGAUCACCAUCUGUUCUUCAAAGACACUUCUGUGGCAGUUGUUGGGGCUACUAGUGCUCACUGCCCUGACAGAGACCUGCUUCGACAGGCCCUUCAUAUUCAGAGUUUAACCACCUGGCUGGGAAAGCUGGCAGGCUUAUACAAUAAAUAAAUCCUCAUAAAAUUCUCAGCAAAGCAGAUGGGGCUGCUCAAUAUGUUGAAAAUGGAGUCCAGGGACCAUCGUCUUUAUAUAGAAAGUUCCAACUUGAGAUGCCUUUAUUAUUACAUCCAAGAAUCCUCUCCACUCUUUCCCUGGCUUCUCAUACCUGUGGGAUUGAUGGGCCAGCCUGUGUCCUACCAGUGUUUCCUGAGUAUUUAUCACUGUUCAAUUUGGGGGUUAAUGGGAGAAGGAUGGCGGAACUACGAUGGAUAAUCAAGUGUGUUAAGAUCUUAAAGAUUUUCUGUGGAUUUCGACGUGCCUCAAAGAACCUUCCUGUCCGGUUCUUCAGUGACUGUUCUUUACAGUCUUGCCUCUGCUACUUCUCUGCUAGAUCAUUAUUUAGCCCAGCUGUAUUACGGGAUCUUUUGACUUCAUGGUAUCACUGGAAAGCUUACAUGUCCUAGUGGAUGAAAAUAUUUCAAUGCAGUUUGAAUAUAUCACCCACUGUUUUUUGGUCUCCAUGGUUUAUGAUGAGAAGUCAGCUAUAACUUACUGAGGAGCCAUUGUACAUGAUGAGUUGUUUUUCUCUUGCUGCAUUCAAGAUUCUGAAGAGCGCAUUAGAAAGAGCAUGUCAAGUUCUCACCACAAAUACCAUUGGAGUUACAGUUGGAAUGGCAUUGAAUUAUAGAAUAAUUUUUGGAGAGCUGUCAUCUUUAUAAUUUUCUCAUACAUGAAGGUGCUUCUCUCUGCUGCCUUUUGUGCUGCCAGGCACAGUGCUUGGUGAUGGGGAUAUGGAGAUGAAUUAGACACGAUUCCUGCCCUCAAAGAGUUCUCAGUCUAGUGAGAGAGUUCGACAUGUACACAGAUACUUACAACAGUAUGGUAUGCUCUACAAUGGAGGUAUCAUUGUUAGUUCUUGGGACAUUCACCGCGUGACAGAAACAACAGCAGGCCCUGGUGGCUGGGAGGACUUCAUGGAUCCAACAGCAACCUGAAGAAAUCCUACUCGGAUGGAUAUAAUACAACCUGCUAAGUGUCCUAGCACUUAUCAGGUUGUAUUAUCAUUGUCCGUGUCUAUGGCUCUCGUCUACCAGACUCUAAAUUCCUAACGGGCAAGGACAGUGCCUUAUUCAUCUUUGUAUUCACAGUGCCUAAUCCGGUGCACAUUGUAGGCCUCAUUAAAUGUUUGUUGAAUGAAAAAAUGAAUCAUCAACAGACAUUAAUUGGGCGCCUGCUCUGUGAUCUCCAUGGGCUCAGCUUGUCCCCGCCAGUUGCCUACAACGUCCAAGCUGUCUUCAGUAUGCUUUCUCCUGAAGCUUACUCCUAUCUUCUAAUUCUUUUGCCAAGGACUUUUCUGUGUAGUGCAAAAAUAGCAAAUAUACUUCAUCUCAAGUACCAUCUCCAACUGAUUGAUAGUACCUGUCUUGAUUAUGUUUUAUAAAAAGGAUUCUGAAGCCAGAUCUCAGUUCAGUAUGAAAGAGGAUUAUAACUAAUUAGUGAUGUUUGCUGGGGGUGGGGGAAGGGGAGUAGCAGCACAAGUGCCACAUAUAUGUCAUAUUUAAUAUUGUAUUUUCCAUGAAAUACUCUGUUUCUAUGCCUGUAUUUUAGUCUUGGCUACUUGCAGAUGUUGCAUUGUUGCUGCUGCCACUACUACACUUGCUGCCAGUUGCUCCUUGGGUAGGACCAGAGUGAUCAUUGAUCAGAAACUUCAUCCUCACAGUCUGGGGUUUGCUCCUGUGGCUGGUAUUCACAGUUUUCCCCUUUCAACUAUACCUCAGCUAUCCCCUUACCUACAUUAACAGGUAGGCCUCCAGAUUAUCUUCACCACUCAACAGGCUCAUACUUCCUUUUUCUUAUUUAGUGUGAUAAAUCAUUAUUGCUUCAUGAGAAGCCUUCUUUCUGUUAGAAGAUGUGACAACUAGAAUACAAGUUAACCAAUUCCAUCAGGGCCCUACAGUGAGUCAUAAAAGCUCCCUUUUAAUGUAGGAGAAAAUUGAGCAUGCUCACAGACUACAGGGCAGGGAAAAGGGAGGCAUUGUACAUGUGGGAGAGAGAUGAUAACUUUUGGCUCUUAGAACACGGGUGGAGGGUUAGCCUUAGAUGAAAGGAGUUACCUCUUCACUGGGGCAUAGUGACAAGAAUAAGAGUUAGGAAGAGUACCUGAUAAGGGUGUUGAAGAUUUGUAAUUGGAGAGGUGGAUGAUAGAGAGGAAGCUGACCAGGGACAGGAUUAUGGAGACAAGAGUCUAAGGAAUAUCCAGGCCAAAAGGCUGGAUUGGAGAGCUUAUGACAUAUCAAAGUGAACAACUAGUUUGAAACUUGAUAAUAGAUUCAGGAAAAUAUAAAGUGGUCUUGGACCAUUGUUACAAGUAACAUUUGGUUGCCUGGAACUGAUCUUGAUUGAUUGAGGGAUGGACAGCUAGCAAGAGAGGAGUUAUGCAGAAAUGGAUUUGAGGAUCCAGACUGUAUAUGGAAGGAAGCUCAGAGUCUGUAAAAAAAAGAGGCCUUAGUGCAAUCAAGAUGGGUGCUGAGUAGUUGGAAAACUAGAAUGAUAGGACCUGUAUCAGAGGCUGAACUUUGGAAUGUUAAAAUUUUAAAAUUGGAGUGAUCAAGAUACCUGUGAUGGUAGGAUGUCAGAUGGUUGUUUACCUGGAUACUGAAGUGACCCAGGAUUAUAGCAAAAGCUGGGCUAGGAAUGAACACUGUAGGCUAGAUAAAAUAGGCUUCAGUGACUGAGGAAUGAUCUGGAGGUUGGCACAUGACAGUUGUGCAGAUGCAAGAGAAGAGAGGUUGUAGUGGGAUGGUAGUAUGAGCCUCAGAAGAGUGGUGGGGAUUACUAGAAGAUGCAAAAACUGUGGUUUGCCCAUUGCACUGAGGUUUUGGCUGGUAGAAUGCACAUCUAAAAUGAUCCCCUCCUUUAUUAAGUGCUUGUUCUAUAUCUGACACUUUGCUGUGUGCCAUCUGUUUAUCCCUUUUGGAUCUGUCAACAUUUCAUGUGUGAAAAUGAGCAGCAAUCCCAGGCAAGGAUAGCUAGGCUGCUGGCCCUUAACACUGGUGGAAUCCUGUGGCCAUCUCCUAACUCUUUGAAAGAGCAGCAAGGCUGGUCAUCUGGAAGUAUGAUAAAAAGAUUUGUUUAGGAUUAAAAUUUUCCCUUGACCUUGAUGUAACUUCAUUACAUGGUACAGGCUUUUGUUGGCUGUGUUCCAUAAUGUGCUUUGGCUUCUGAGCCUCUGAGUUGAGGAGUGAACUAGAACUGCCCUUUGAAAAAGACAGGCACAGUACUUGAAAAACACUCGUGUUGAUUAGAACAAGACACAGUCCUAUUAUCUAAUUGAGCUUUUAAGAUAAAGAGUAGACAAAAGAAAGCCCACAUCAGUGGGUGAAUAACAAAACCACUUUGUAAAAGCCAUUUAGCUUCAGGAUGCAUCCAGUCUGGUGGCCAUAUUGUAGAUGUUCCCUGUGCUGUUGGGAAGGAUGGCUGGAAAUUGAUGCAAAGAGAUGGCCCUUAGGACUUGGAAGGUAAAGUUUAGGAAGAGAGUCUCUCUGAACCCUCUGAAAUUGCAUGCAGUCAUUUUUCUUUUGUUAUAGUCUUCAAAUGAGCCAAUAUUCCAAUAAAGGUUUAGAGCCACUGUGUUAGAGUGACCAGACCCUCAGAUAGCCCAUCCCCUCCCAUGGGGGCUGCUCUAUAUUUAUUCCUCAGGAGGAGCUGGUAGAAGACUUCAUGAAGGAGAAGAAAAGGAAAAGAUCAGAGGAUGACUACAGCCUCUCUUCAUCCCAGCUUUGCAAAGCAUGACUCAAUAGAUAGAUCACUCUUUUGAAGACUCUCCAGACCACAGGUUGCUCUUUUCAAUUGCAUGCUUAGCCCUCUUGGCUCCUUUCAGAAGUUGUACUCUAUGUAUGUAUAUAUGAACUAUCACUUCCCAUAAAGAGGACACCAUGUAGUCAAAAAUUGCCAGAUCCCCAAUGCUGGAAUAUAGGCCACCAGAGAUGAGUUUGAGUUUCAGCAACAUAAGACCCCAACUUCAUGGAAGGAAGGUAGUCAAUUGACUUGAAAAUAACCCCAAUCCCUGCAUUCAUAUUCUUUUUCCUUCAGUCCUAUGGCUAAGAUAUCACUGAUUAAAGCAAACAAAAGCCAUGACUUUCUCCUUCCACUGGCACUUCUCUAUCCCACGUAUAUGCCACUGUGAGUCACUGUCUUUCAUUAGCACUUCUUUCCAUCUCUUAAAACCCAAGGAGGUAUGAAUACUAAGGUUGGGGUUGAAUUUGUCAUAAUUACUCUGCAGUUGGAGAAUACUCAAUGUUAAUCACCCUGAAACCAACUCCCACCUUAUCUCCUGGGGCAGCCACAGGAGACACUGUAGCCAUGGCCAGCAACUGGACCCCAGCCCCAGGGAUUACUCCUGAUGUCUCAACUGAUUAUGAAAUACCAGUAGGAGGGCUUGUUUCCCUUUCUAACUUGGUCAUCAGAGAUUAGGAUUUGCAUACAUAUGAUAUAUAAGGACACACAUCUUAUGGGUCAAUAGUAAACAGUGUCAGGUUACUUUUUGUCUCUUGGGGAUGGGCAAGAUAGGGUAUGGGGGAAGUGGAAAGUCUUGAACCUUUCAAAUAUUCCCAGUGAUUGUUCAGGACACCCCUAGUCACAUCUUCUGGUGCCUUAUCCUGUGCCUUGCCUCUCCUUUCUUCAUAAUCCUUCUAGUGCACUCCUUGCUCUCUCUAGCCACCUUUCAUCUCCUGCCCCACCCUGAUGGGUUUCAGCAGGUGUUUAUUUUCUUUUCCUUCCCCCAGGCCAUCUGUAACAGGCCCCAGAUAGGAAGAGCCUUACUGUGAAUGAGUGAAUGAAGAUUCAGUGAGUGUUGGUAGUGACACCAUGUUUCUCUCUGGAUUUAAGGAGAGAAGGAGUGCUGUGCAGAGGGGAAGGAGAGGGAAGCUAUGAAAUCCCAUUAUGGAGUAACAAAUGCUUGGCAUUUUAGUGGGUAUUAGACCUAGAAGCCUACAUGAUUGAAGGAAGCAAACCUGAGAUUUCUGAUAUUUGUGAGUGAAGAUAGGUGUUAACUCCUUAUUGCCAUUAAGAAUGAAGGGAGGAGAGAAAAGUAAAGGUCAUAAAAUCCUUUACCUCAGUGGAGAAGGCACUGAGACUCGCUUUAUGAACCUGUUAUUUUUAGAGGUAGAGUGAAGGUAAGUUGUUGUGCUGCACUUUCGUUACUCGUGAGAGUCACUGUCAGCAACUUUUCUUAGGUAGGUCUGCCCUUGUGGAGGUUUCUGUUGACCUGUAUAAAAAAAACAACCCAGGAAAAAGUUUGCAACUUAGAAGAACUCUCCAGUUCAAUAACAGGGUGUUAAAGGGGUUGAGGACAGAGGAAAUAGCACAAGUAGUACCAAAUAGCUCAGUUUUUUUGUUUUUCUUUUUAAUGGGAUGAAUGGGCCAGAGAUAGUGGGCAGAAUGGCUUCAUGCAACCCCAAACAGCAGAUAGGACAUAAGGAAACAGUACAAUGAAAGGUCACUACUUGGACGUUUGUCAUUCCCCAGAGAAUGAUGGAAUAUCUAAAGUAAAAUUAGGAGCUGCUUUGGAGAAGGGUUUUAAAAGAUUAUUUCAUAGAAGAAAGAUUUAGAAGAGGGGAAACUUCCAGUUAUAUAAGAUGGGCAUUAUAGCUUUUAAAGACAUCUGUUCCCUGUAUAGGUCAUAGAGAUUGAUACCAGUAUCAGCCUGUGGCUGAUCAGGCCAGUUUAACUAAGCAGUUUCAUGUUGCUGGAGAGAUGCUGCCACUCUCUGUCUCUCACUUUGGCAGGUAUUCAUUCAUCUGCAAUGAGUCCAGUACCUGAAGGAGCAAGACAACAACAAGCAUCCAGGGGGACAACAGUGUGGCCUUCUGAGUGAAGAUAGCAACUGAAAAGAUCAUGGGAUUGGCUGCAUUAGGCUGGGUUUGUUUCUUUUUUGAAAAUAAAAAAUGUUCUCUUUUUGAUGACAAAAGUAACAAGUGGUCAUUGUUAAAAAAUAAAGUGAAAGGUGUAAAUUAAAAAGUAAAUAAUACCUAUAAUCUUAUAACCCAGAAAAUAAUUCAUAACAUUUGCAUGUAUUUCCUUUUACUCUUUAAAAUAAGUGUAUAUAACACAGUUUAAAAAUAAAAUUGACAUUGUAUAUGUUAUUCUCUAACUUUUCUCAUUUGAGAAUAAACAAGCAUUCUCCUAUAUCAUUAGCAUUAUUUAAAAAUACAGUAUUAAGUGUCACAUAAUAUUUCAUAUGGUUCUAACAAAAUUCAUUUACAGUAAGUCCCCCUACAUAUGAACCUUCAAGUUGCAAACUUUCAAAGAUGCGAACGUGUGUUCACAUGUCCAGUCAUGUAAGUUAGUUCACGUGUCUGGUGUACAUUGUCACGUGCAUGCAUCUUCUACAAGUGGUUGUGCUUUUGUGUACUUUACUGUACCAUACUGUAUAGAGCAUAGUAGUACAGUAUCUUUAUUUCAGGCCCAGAAUGUGAGUGAAACUGAAGCUUACCCAGCCGCCUAGCACAGGGAGAUCAGCUCGGUGCUUUGUGACCACCUAGAGGGGUGGGAUAGGGAGGAUGGGAGGGAGACGCAAGAGGGAAGAGAUAUGGGGAUAUAUGUAUAUGUAUAGCUGAUUCACUUUGUUAUAAAGCAGAAACUAACAAACCAUUGUAAAGCAAUUAUACUCCAAUAAAGAUGUUAAAUAAAAAAAGUAUUUUUAAAUUAAGGUUAAAAAAAAAAUUGAAGCUUACCUAUUGCUGAUGAUCCUUCAGCUCUACCGUCUCCCACCUCUUCUCCCUCCAGUCAGUAACUCUUCUUGCCUGUUCACUUGAUGCCAGCCCCUGUAUGCCAGCUGUUAUACUGUACUAGUGUACUUUUCAAGGUACUGUACUCUAAGAUUAAAAAUGUUUUCUUUAUUUUUCGUGUUUGUUUUUUAUGUAUUAUUUGUGUAAAAGUAUUAUAAACCUAUUAUAGUACAGUACUAUAUAGCCUAUUGUGUUAGUUGGGUACCUAGGCUAACUUUGUUGGACUUACGAACAAAUUGGACUUAUGAACACGCUCUUGGAAUGGAACUUGUUUGUAUAUAGGGGACUUACUGUGGAUGAUCCCAUGAUGCAGACAUUUUGGAUAUUAUCAAUUUUGCCUAUAAAAUUAAAAUAUAAUGAACAUAAUUGCACAUUAACCUUUAUUGCAUCUCUAUUUCUUUAGAAUAAAUUUCUAGAAUUGGAAUUACUGAGUUUGAUGAGAGCAUUAUUAGGGCACCUGAAAGGUGUUGUUGAAUUGUCCUCAAUAUUGUACAAAUAACAUUCCCAUCAGUGGUACAUAAAUGUGCAUCAAAAUAUGCCCUUUCCUUUUAUAAAUCUCUCAUCAUUUGACAGGCAAAAAUAUCCAUUUGUUUGAGAUUUUUAUUUCUAAGUUGCAUACACUAAAAUUCAUUCCUAUCAUGUAUAGUUCUAUAGUUUUGACAAGUAUAGAGUCAUGUAUCCUUCCACUCCAGUACCAUACACAAUUGUUUUAGCAUUAAUAAUUUCUCUUGAUUGCUCUUUUUGUUGUAAACCCUUUCCCUCAAUCCCUGGAAACCACCUAUUUGUUCUCCAUCCCUAUGGUUUUGCCUUUUCCAGAAGGUUAUAUGAAUGGAGUCGUGCAAUAUGUAGACCUUUUGAUCUGGCUUCUUUCACUUAGUAAAAUGCAUUUAAGUAUCAUCUAUAUUGUUAUGUAAAUCAAUAUUCAUUAUUUUUAUUGUUGUACUUCACUAUAUGGAUGUACCAGCUUUUAAUCCAUUCACUAAUUGAUGGACAUGAGAGAUAUUUCCAGUUUAGGCCAUUAUGAAUAAAGUUGCUAUAAACUCUCA